CUUCCUUUUAUGGUCCUAAACCUUGUGUUUAAAUUUCAUAGAUUUCUAUUUACUUAUACUAAAGUUAUGGUGCGAAAACCAAGAAUAAUGCUUAUUUGGGCCCCUUUUUGGCCCCUAAUUCCUGAACUGUUCGGACCUCAACUCCCAAAAUCAAUCCCAACUUUCCUUUUGUGGUCAUAAACCUUGUGUUUAAAUUUCAUUGAUUUCUAUUUACUUAUACUAAAGUUAUUGUGCGAAAACCAAGAAUAAUGCUUAUUUGGGCCCUUUUUUGGCCCCCAAUUCCUAUACUGUUGGAACCAAAACUCCCAAAAUCAAUCCCAACCUUCCUUUUGUGGUCAUAAACCUUGUGUCAAAAUUUCAUAGAUUUCUAUUUACUUUUACUAAAGUUAGAGUGCGAAAACUAAAAGUA
rnacentral:lncRNA from 1 species